CUCAGUAACACGUGGAUAACCUACCCUCAGGUGGGGGAUAACCCCGGGAAACUGGGGAUAAUACCCCAUAGACCAGGGACGCUGGAAUGCCCCCUGGUCGAAAGGUCCGCCGCCUGAGGAUGGGUCUGCGGCCGAUUAGGUUGUUGUUGGGGUAACGGCCCAACAAGCCUUUGAUCGCUACGGGUUGUGAUAGCAAGAGCACGCCAUAUGGAUUCUGAGACACAAAUCCAGGCCCUACUGGGCGAGUAAGAGAGAUAACUUUACAAUCCGAGAAAUCCUUAUAAUGGAACCGCGACUGCCCGUAAAUUCUUGCUGUAAAUCAGCGUAGGAAACUGGGGAGGAAAUGGCCG
rnacentral:rRNA from 1 species